rnacentral:rRNA from 1 species
UGCCAGCCGCCGCGGUAAUACGGAGGGUGCGAGCGUUGUCCGGAAUUAUUGGGUUUAAAGGGUACGUAGGCGGUUAGAUAAGUCAAAGUUGAAAUGGUGCAGCUCAACUGUAGCACUGGCUUUGAUACUGUUUAACUUGAGUAUGGUAGAGGUAGGCGGAAUUUAUGAUGUAGCGGUGAAAUGCAUAGAUAUCAUAAAGAACUCCAAUUGCGAAGGCAGCUUACUGGACCAUAACUGACGCUGAUGUACGAAAGCGUGGGUAGCGAACAGGAUUAGAUA